rnacentral:rRNA from 1 species
UGAAUACGAGAUGCUACGGCGUCGAAGCAGUGUAUGUCAGACUUCCAAGAAAAGCUCGCAAUGUCAUAAAUAAAGAAUGCCUGUACCAUAACCGACACAGGUGGGUAGGUAGAGUAUACUAAGGGGCGCGAGAUAACUCUCUCUAAGGAACUCGGCAAAAUAACUCCGUAACUUCGGGAGAAGGAGUGCCUUCUUUAAGAAGGUUGCAAUAACAAGAUCCAAGCAACUGUUUAUCAAAAACACAGGUCUCCGCUAAGUCGUAAGACGAUGUAUGGGGGCUGACGCCUGCCCAGUGCCAGAAGGUUAAAGAAGCUGGUUAGCAAUAGCGAAGCUGGUGACUGAAGCCCUGGUGAACGGCGGCCGUAACAAUAACGGUCCUAAGGUAGCGAAAUUCCUUGUCGGGUAAGUUCCGACCCGCACGAAAGGCGUAAUGAUUUGGAUACUGUCUCGGAGAGGGACUCGGUGAAAUAGACUUGUCUGUGAAGAUGCGGACUACCUGCACCAGGACAGAAAGACCCUAUGAAACUUUACUGUAACCUGAAAUUGAAAUUGGUCUCUAUUUGUGCAGUAUAGGUGGGAGGCGUUGAAAGUAAUCUUGCGGGAUUAGUGGAGCCAUCAGUGAGAUACCACUCCUAUAAUGUUAGAUUUCUAACUUUGGAUCAUGAUCUGGUCAAAGAACAGUUUCAGGCGGGCAGUUUGACUGGGGCGGUCGCCUCCCAAAUGGUAACGGAGGCGUACAAAGGUUUCCUCUGAACGGGUAGAAAUCGUAUCUAGAGUGUAAAGGCAUAAGGAAGCUUGACUGUGAGACCUACAAGUCGAGCAGGGACGAAAGUCGGUCUUAGUGAUCUGACGGUGCUGAGUGGAAAGGCCGUCACUCAACGGAUAAAAGUUACUCUAAGGAUAACAGGCUGAUCUCCCCCAAGAGUUCACAUCGACGGGGAGGUUUGGCACCUCGAUGUCGGCUCAUCGCAUCCUGGGGCGGUAGUACGUCCCAAGGGUUGGGCUGUUCGCCCAUGAAAGCGGUACGCGGGCUGGGUUCAGAACGUCGUGAGACAGUUCGGUCCAUAUCUGUGUAGGCGUUAGAAUAUUGAGAGGAGCUUUCUCUAGUACGAGAGGACCGAGAAGGACAUACCUCUGGUGUACCAGUUAUCGUGCCAACGGUAAACGCUGGGUAGCUAUGUAUGGAGAGGAUAACCGCUGAAAGCAUCUAAGUGGGAAGCCCACCUCAAGAUGAG